UAGGGAAUAUUGGACAAUGGGCGAAAGCCUGAUCCAGCAACGCCGCGUGCGCGAUGACGGCCUUCGGGUUGUAAAGCGCUUUUAGAGGAGAUGAGAAAGGACAGUAUCCUCUGAAUAAGCCUCGGCGAACUACGUGCCAGCAGCCGCGGUAAAACGUAGGAGGCUAGCGUUAUCCGGAUUUAUUGGGCGUAAAGCGCGUGCAGGCGGUCUGACAAGUUGGAUGUGAAAGCUCCUGGCUUAACUGGGAGAGGUCGUUCAAAACUGUUAGACUAGAGAAUGGGAGAGGGAGGUGGAAUUCCGGGUGUAGUGGUGAAAUGCGUAGAUAUCCGGAGGAACACCAGUGGCGAAAGCGGCCUCCUAGACCAUUUCUGACGCUAAGACGCGAAAGCUAGGGUAGCAAACG
rnacentral:rRNA from 1 species